AGUGAGUUAAAUAGAUAAAGGUGCACUCAACUUAAUUUUUUGGAUGAGAUGAUCACACUAUUCAAUAGAGCUAAAGUCAACGUCAGUUUCAAUUGCUUCCCUUGAUUGUCGCGUGCUUACUUAUUAUGUUUGCUACGGUCACUGCAUAACUUGUGAACAUUCAGAAGUACAGGUCAAUCACCUUCCAACCCUUGUCACCUUUCAUCCUCUUAAUCUGUAAAAGGGUUUCCUCUCAAAUGGCAACUAUUAUGUUUAGUGUAUUGAUUAUUUUUGCCUUAUUUGCAGGAGGAUUAUGAUAAGUUGGUGUCACAGCUCCGUCGCCUUAGACACGAGUCAACUGUUGGUGCUGGCCUUCCUGUCAUAGCAUCCUUAAAUCGCAUAAUUUCAUCAGGAGACCCUGUGUACCGUAUUAUUGGGAGUUUGAGUGGUACCCUGGGCUAUGUAAUGAGUGAGGUUGAGUAUGGAAGGCCAUUCAGCCAAGUCGUUAAUGCUGCUAAAAGCCUUGGCUACACUGAACCAGGCUCUCAUUCUUGCUCGGCUCCUUGGACGGAGUUUAAACCUAGAUAAUAUGAAGAUUGAAAGCUUGUAUCCUGAAGAAAUGGGACCAGAUGUGAUGCCUCUGGAAGACUUUCUAGUGAAUGGCCUUCCCUUACUUGAUCAGAAAAUUGAAGAUAGGAUUAAAUAAGCUUCUGC